AGUGGAUUCGAAGGAAAAGCUUUUCUAUCAUUUUGUGGUGGUGUUUCUACUGUGACCUGUAAUUGAGCCCUCACCAGGGUGAUUUUCUCAGGAACAAAAUGUCCAGGCUGGGGCAUAAUUCUUGGAAGCCAAUUGAAUUGAUACAAAGCCUCAAUUUAGAAAUUGGACAUCA
rnacentral:lncRNA from 1 species